CAGUCGCCGCGGUAAUACGUAGGGUGCAAGCGUUAAUCGGAAUUACUGGGCGUAAAGCGUGCGCAGGCGGUUUUGUAAGACAGAGGUGAAAUCCCCGGGCUCAACCUGGGAACUGCCUUUGUGACUGCAAGGCUAGAGUACGGCAGAGGGGGAUGGAAUUCCGCGUGUAGCAGUGAAAUGCGUAGAUAUGCGGAGGAACACCGAUGGCGAAGGCAAUCCCCUGGGCCUGUACUGACGCUCAUGCACGAAAGCGUGGGGAGCAAACAGGAUUAGAUACCCGCGUAGUCCCUGUCUCUUAACA
rnacentral:rRNA from 1 species